CUGUCAGUUGAAGAAGUGAUUGGGCAAUGGGCUUGUAAAAGCUAGAGUCCAGGAAAGUCGCCGGGCCACCUAUCCGCAGAGAUGCGGCCUCGGUAACGAGAGAGUCUUGUGCUUGGAGGGGCAUAGCGGCUGAGACGCGUGUGUGGAGCCUUCAUGGUCUCUCCAGCAAAAAAGAUAUUAUGGCCAAUAAACAGUAAUUCACUUGGGUCCUUACGGGAUUUACCAGAACGGGGCUUACUUCCACUGAUG
rfam:Brassica napus, WGS project CCCW01000000 data, contig: 13505